GACGAACGCUGGCGGCGUGCUUAACACAUGCAAGUCGAACGGAAAGGCCCUUCUUUUGUGGGGUGCUCGAGUGGCGAACGGGUGAGUAACACGUGAGUAACCUGCCCUUCACUUUGGGAUAACUUCAGGAAACUGGGGCUAAUACCGGAUAGGAGCUCCUGCUGCAUGGUGGGGGUUGGAAAGUUUCGGCGGUUGGGGAUGGACUCGCGGCUUAUCAGCUUGUUGGUGGGGUAGUGGCUUACCAAGGCUUUGACGGGUAGCCGGCCUGAGAGGGUGAGCGGCCACAUUGGGACUGAGAUAGGGCACAGACUCCUACGGGAGGCAGCAGUGGGGAAUAUUGCACAAUGGGCGGAAGCCUGAUGCAGCAACGCCGCGUGCGGGAUGACGGCCUUCGGGUUGUAAACCGCUUUCGCCUGUGACGAAGCGUGAGUGACGGUAAUGGGUAAAGAAGCACCGGCUAACUACGUG
rnacentral:rRNA from 1 species